UACGUAGGUGGCAAGCGUUGUCCGGAAUUAUUGGGCGUAAAGCGCGCGCAGGCGGUCCUUUAAGUCUGAUGUGAAAGCCCACGGCUCAACCGUGGAGGGUCAUUGGAAACUGGGGGACUUGAGUGCAGAGGAGGAGAGUGGAAUUCCACGUGUAGCGGUGAAAUGCGUAGAGAUGUGGAGGAACACCAGUGGCGAAGGCGACUCUCUGGUCUGUAACUGACGCUGAGGCGCGAAAGCGUGGGGAGCAAACAGG
rnacentral:rRNA from 1 species